ACUCAUGAGGUAUCUCCUUCUAGCCUUCUCUAUAUAUAAUAAAUAGUAAAGUAAUAUUUUCAAGUUAUGAAGUAAAAAAAAAAAAAAAAAAUUCUAUAUCCAUGGCUUCAAUAUUCUUACAAGUUGUUGCACUACUUGUAGUGCUAUACAUUCUUCAAGAAUUACACAACAAAUUCAUGAAAAAGAAGAAAAAACUCCCUCCUGGCCCAAAAGGGCUUCCAAUUAUUGGAAAUCUUCAUAUGAUUGGCAAAAAUGUCCAUCAAGAUCUUCAUAAAAUAGCCAAAAAAUAUGGUCCCAUAAUGAGCAUGAGAUUUGGUUUUGUUCCUGUAAUUGUUGCUUCUUCUCCUCAUGCUGCUGAGCAAUUUUUGAAAAAUCAUGAUCUUAUUUUUGCGAGUCGACCAAAUAAUAUUGCUGCUAAAUUCAUCGCGUAUGAUCAAAGAAAUUUGACAUUUGGAAAAUAUGGACCUUAUUGGCGAAAUAUGCGAAAAUUAUGUACGUUAGAAUUGCUUAGUACUCUCAAAAUCAAUUCAUUUCAAGCCAUGAGAAAACAAGAAGUUACAAAUUUUGUGACUUUUAUCAAUGGGGCAGCUUCUAGUGGUGUUGAAAUUGAUAUUAGUGCUAAACUUGCUACAUUAAAUACUAACAUGACUUGUUUAAUGGUAUUUGGGAAAAAAUAUAUGGAUGAUGAAUUUGAUGAAAGGGGUUUUAAAUAUGUGAUUCAAGAGACUUUAGUUUUAACAGCAACACCAAACAUUGGUGAAUUUUUCCCCUUUCUUAAUGUGUUUGAUUUGCAAGGAGUUGUUCGUCGUAUGAAGGAAUUAUCAAAGAUUUUUGAUGAAUUUUUUGAGAGAAUUAUUGAUGAACAUGUUCAAGAUUCCAAAAAGGAGAAGCAAACCAAGGAUAUUGUUGAUACUAUGAUGAAUAUCAUGCAAUCUGGUGAAUCUGAAUUCGAGUUUGAUCGUCGUCAUGUGAAAGCUAUUUUACUGGUAAUGUUUUCUUCAUCAUAAAACAAAUAGAAUUGCAAGUUAAUUUUAAUUGAGUUUAACUAAUAUUUAUUGAAGUAUAAUUGGUAACUUGUCGUAUUUUCAUGAUCACAAAUUUCACUUUUAUUUCGAAUUACUUAUAAAUAUCUUCGGAUAACUUGAUAGUAUAUUAAUUUAUUUUGCAUUAACCGCAUAUUAUAAGUCAAUAUUAAUGCAUUUGAAUUUGGUCCAUUCGGGCGGAUCUAGAAAUUCAGGUACGAUUUGACCAAAUUUCGUAGUUUUUGCUUAAAUAGUAAUGUUUUGUAUUUCAAAAAUUCAUUAUAUAUAUAUAUAUAUAUAUAUAUAUAUAGUUUAGAAUUUAGUUGUGAAAACUUGGAGAAGUUAUUUAAGAAUUCAGAACACAUAAGGACACUUACGUCUAGUUAUCAGGUCAUUUUAAUUUUUUAUAUAGUUGAUAACCUGCCUUAUUUUUAAAACUACAAAUUCCACAUUUUUAAAGAGGCUUACGUGUAGACCUCCUUUGGAAUGACGUGAUAAUGUAAGGAGUAUCUUAUACUCCCUCCGUCCCCUUUUAGUUUCGUGGUUUUCUUUUUUAGAGUCAAAUGAUAAUAAGAACUUUAAAUAACAUUUUACGAUGUAUUUUUUUCAUCAUAUUGAUAUGCAAAAAAUUACAAUUUAUAGUACUUUUUGUAUAGUUUUUGAAUAUCUAAAUUUUUAGUUUAAAAUAUCAAAUUAACAUAAUCUAAUUUAACUUUGAAAAUUAGUCAAAUUGACUUUCGAAAAGCAUAACAUGACAACUAAAAGAGGACGAUAGGAGUACUAAUAGCGUAGGUAACUUAAAUUCUAUUUAAAAGUAUGUUAGCAUACAUGUGAAUGUUAAUUAAUUUAACAAAUGAAAAAUAACUCUUUAUGCAGGACAUGUUAAUAGCUUCAAUGGACACCUCAUCAACAGCAAUUGACUGGAUUUUCACUGAACUUUUAAGGCAUCCAAAAGUAAUUAAGAAAUUACAAAAGGAAUUGGAACAAAUAGUUGGCAUGAAUAGAAUGGUGGAAGAAUCAGACUUGGAAAAAUUAGAGUACUUAGACAUGGUCAUAAAAGAAGGUUUUAGGCUUCACCCUGUUGCACCACUAUUGAUUCCUCAUGAGUCUAUUGAAGAUUGCACAAUUGAUGGUUUUGAUAUACCUAAAGGUUCAAGACUUCUAGUAAAUACUUGGGCGAUUGGAAGAGAUCCAGAAAUUUGGUCAGAACCCGAGAAGUUCAUGCCAGAAAGGUUUGUUGGUAGUAACAUUGAUCUUCGUGGAAAUAAUUUUCAACUUUUACCGUUUGGCUCUGGAAGAAGAAGUUGUCCUGGAUUACAAUUAGGACUCAGUUUAGAAUUUAGUUGUGAAAACUUGGAGAAGUUAUUUAAGAAUUCAGAACACAUAAGGACACUUACGUCUAGUUAUCAGGUCAUUUUAAUUUUUUAUAUAGUUGAUAACCUGCCUUAUUUUUAAAACUACAAAUUCCACAUUUUUAAAGAGGCUUACGUGUAGACCUCCUUUGGAAUGACGUGAUAAUGUAAGGAGUAUCUUAUACUCCCUCCGUCCCCUUUUAGUUUCGUGGUUUUCUUUUUUAGAGUCAAAUGAUAAUAAGAACUUUAAAUAACAUUUUACGAUGUAUUUUUUUCAUCAUAUUGAUAUGCAAAAAAUUACAAUUUAUAGUACUUUUUGUAUAGUUUUUGAAUAUCUAAAUUUUUAGUUUAAAAUAUCAAAUUAACAUAAUCUAAUUUAACUUUGAAAAUUAGUCAAAUUGACUUUCGAAAAGCAUAACAUGACAACUAAAAGAGGACGAUAGGAGUACUAAUAGCGUAGGUAACUUAAAUUCUAUUUAAAAGUAUGUUAGCAUACAUGUGAAUGUUAAUUAAUUUAACAAAUGAAAAAUAACUCUUUAUGCAGGACAUGUUAAUAGCUUCAAUGGACACCUCAUCAACAGCAAUUGACUGGAUUUUCACUGAACUUUUAAGGCAUCCAAAAGUAAUUAAGAAAUUACAAAAGGAAUUGGAACAAAUAGUUGGCAUGAAUAGAAUGGUGGAAGAAUCAGACUUGGAAAAAUUAGAGUACUUAGACAUGGUCAUAAAAGAAGGUUUUAGGCUUCACCCUGUUGCACCACUAUUGAUUCCUCAUGAGUCUAUUGAAGAUUGCACAAUUGAUGGUUUUGAUAUACCUAAAGGUUCAAGACUUCUAGUAAAUACUUGGGCGAUUGGAAGAGAUCCAGAAAUUUGGUCAGAACCCGAGAAGUUCAUGCCAGAAAGGUUUGUUGGUAGUAACAUUGAUCUUCGUGGAAAUAAUUUUCAACUUUUACCGUUUGGCUCUGGAAGAAGAAG
rnacentral:lncRNA from 1 species